rnacentral:rRNA from 1 species
UGAAUUUCCUAGGGGGCGUCAAAGCUUACCGAAGAAUAUCAAACUCCGAAUGCCACAGAGAUGUUUGCCGGGAGUCAGACUAUACGAGAUAAGUUGGAUAGUCAAAAGGGAAAGAGCCCAGACCACCAGCUAAGGUCCCCAAGUACGUGUUAAGUGGAAAAGGAUGUGGGAUUUCAAAGACAGCCAGGAUGUUGGCUCAGAAGCAGCCAUACAUUUAAAGAGUGCGUAAUAGCUCACUGGUCGAGAGGUCCUGCGCCGAAAAUGUCCGGGGCUAAAACACGACACCGAAGCUGUGGGAUUUACGAAUGUAAAUCGGUAGGGGAGCAUUGUUAACUGGAUGAAGCGGUACCGGAAGGGGCCGUGGACGGUUAAGAAGGGAGAAUGCCGGAAUGAGUAGCGAGAUGGAGGUGGGAAUCCUCCAGGCCGAAUAUCUAAGGUUUCCAGGGUAAAGCUGAUCUGCCCUGGGUAAGUCGGGGCCUAAGGCGAGGUCGAAAGACGUAGCCGAUGGACAACAGGUUGAGAUUCCUGUACUGCUGCAUGGCAGAACUGUGGGGACACAGGUGGAGAGCGCUGACCGGGAAUGGAAAGACCGGGGCAAGCAGAGGAGGCGCUGCGCUGGCAAAUCCGCGCAGCAAGCCAAAGCUGUGAUGCAUAGUGAACUAUAAGUAACGAAUAGCGUGAGCCAGCUGUCGAGAAAAGCCGCUAUUGCCCAUGCAGUACCCGUACCGUAAACCGACACAGGUGGAUGAGGAGAGAAUCCUAAGGCCGACGGAAGAAGCAUUGUUAAGGAACUCGGCAAAAUGACCCCGUAACUUCGGGAGAAGGGGUGCCCCUCAGAAGGGGGGCCGCAGUGAAAUGGCCCAAGCAACUGUUUAGCAAAAACACAGGUCUAUGCGAAACCGAAAGGUGAGGUAUAUGGGCUGACGCCUGCCCGGUGCUGGAAGGUUAAGAGGAGAGGUUAGCGCAAGCGAAGCUUUGAAUUUAAGCCCCAGUAAACGGCGGCCGUAACUAUAACGGUCCUAAGGUAGCGAAAUUCCUUGUCGGGUAAGUUCCGACCCGCACGAAAGGCGUAAUGAUUUGGGCACUGUCUCAACAAUGCACCCGGUGAAAUUGAAAUACCAGUGAAGAUGCUGGUUACCUGCGCCAGGACGGAAAGACCCCAUGGAGCUUUACUCCAGCUUGAUACUGGGAUUCGGUAUUGCAUGUACAGGAUAGGUGGGAGGCUAAGAAGUAAGGACGCCAGUCCUUAUGGAGCCGCUGUUGGGAUACCACCCUUGCAGUACUGGGUUUCUAACCAGCAGCCGUGAUCCGGCUGGGGGACAAUGUCAGGUGGGGAGUUUGACUGGGGCGGUCGCCUCCGAAAGGGUAUCGGAGGCGCUCAAAGGUUCCCUCAGAAUGGUCGGAAACCAUUCGAAGAGUGCAAAGGCAGAAGGGAGCUUGACUGCGACACCGACGGGUGGAGCAGGUACGAAAGUAGGACUUAGUGAUCCGGUGGUAUUAAGUGGGAAUGCCAUCGCUCAACGGAUAAAAGCUACCCUGGGGAUAACAGGCUUAUCACUCCCAAGAGUUCACAUCGACGGAGUGGUUUGGCACCUCGAUGUCGGCUCAUCGCAUCCUGGGGCUGUAGUAGGUCCCAAGGGUUGGGCUGUUCGCCCAUUAAAGCGGUACGCGAGCUGGGUUCAGAACGUCGUGAGACAGUUCGGUCCCUAUCCGGCGUGGGCGUAGGAUAUUUGAGAGGAGCUGUCCUUAGUACGAGAGGACCGGGAUGGACUGGCCGCUGGUGUAUCUGUUGUUUUACCAAGAGCAUGGCAGAGUAGCCAAGCCGGGAAGGGAUAAACGCUGAAGGCAUCUAAGCGUGAAGCCCCCCUCAAGAUGAGAUAUCCCAUACGCAAGUAGUAAGACCCCUUGA